CCUACGGGAGGCUGCAGUGGGGAAUAUUGCACAAUGGGGGAAACCCUGAUGCAGCGACGCCGCGUGAGUGAAGAAGUAUUUCGGUAUGUAAAGCUCUAUCAGCAGGAACGAGACAAGACGGUACCUGACUAAGAAGCCCCGGCUAACUACGUGCCAGCAGCCGCGGUAAUACGUAGGGGGCAAGCGUUAUCCGGAAUCACUGGGUGGAAAGGGAGCGUAGACGGCUGAGCAAGCCUGAAGUGAAAGGCGGGGGCCCAACCCCCGGACUGCUUUGGGAACUGUACGGCUGGAGUGCAGGAGAGGUAAGUGGAAUUCCUAGUGUAGCGGUGAAAUGCGUAGAUAUUAGGAGGAACACCAGUGGCGAAGGCGGCUUACUGGACUGUAACUGACGUUGAGGCUCGAAAGCGUGGGGAGCAAACAGGAUUAGAUACCCGUGUAGUC
rnacentral:rRNA from 1 species